CCUUUAUCUCUUCUUUGACUUUCUUAAAGAAAGAAGACUCAAGAAGCUCCCCCUCUCUAUUCCCACGGGUCCAAUUAAAUCAGAAAAUUCUCACCUCACUUUUCUCUCUUUUGUCUUAAGGAAAGAGCAAGGAAGCUCUCUUGAGUCCACGGGUUCACACACCAAAGGAAAGACAAAAGCUCCACCUUAUUCUUCUUUAUACUCUCUCAAAGAAAAUUAGAAGACUCAAAAAACUCUCUUAAGCUCUCUACCGCUUAUACUUUCGGGUCCAAGCACUAGGAAAGGGAGAUCAUUUCAUGCAAGAGUGAUUUAUUUCUAUUUCCCCUCAAGAACCAGAAAUUUGGUGUUACCAGUUUCCUAGGUCUAAGCUCCUUCGACUGUAGGCUCUCGGCUCCUCUGCUUUCAGGUCACCCCUUCUACUCUUUCAGUCAACAAGUUUUAUUUUUGGAGCAGAGGGAGCCUUAGUCGAGUUUGGAAGGAGCUAGUUUUAGUUUUAAAUGUAUAGAUCCCAAAUUUGUAUCUGAUGUUUAGUUUUAUGGUAUUUUGUAUUUUAGGAUCUAAUAAAAGUUAGGUACCUUAAAGUGUUAAGAGAUGUAUUAUGUGAAAUUUAGAAUUUGAAUAAUUGGUGGAUUGUGUUAUCCUUUGAGAUACAAUGUAGAUGUUCGGAAUAUUAAGUGGAAAGUUAUAUCAUUUAAGUAAAGAAACAAGAAUGAAAAUAAAGAGGGAAGCUUUUGUAAAA